UACAGAGGUCCCAAGCGUUGUUCGGAUUCAUUGGGCGUAAAGGGUGCGUAGGCGGCGCGGUAAGUCGGGUGUGAAAUUUCGGAGCUUAACUCCGAAACUGCAUUCGAUACUGCCGUGCUUGAGGACUGGAGAGGAGACUGGAAUUUACGGUGUAGCGGUGAAAUGCGUAGAUAUCGUAAGGAAGACCAGUGGCGAAGGCGGGUCUCUGGACAGUUCCUGACGCUGAGGCACGAAGGUCAGGGGAGCAAACGGG
rnacentral:rRNA from 1 species